ensembl:lncRNA
UGCGUUACCAAGAUGGCGGCUUAGUGGACUUCAGUUUUUGCAAAAUCAAAUGUAAUUGUUGUAUGAGCAUUAGUUAGUACAACGUGGAUACAAUAACAAGUUGGCAUGCCACGUUUGUGUGCUUUCUGCGGCUGUAAUAAUCGAGUGGGCUGUGGGCUUUCGUUUUUCGCAUUCCCAAAGGACAGUACAAGGAGGCGGAAAUGGCUUCUUAAUUUGAUGAGGGCAGACUUAUCCCCCGACAUGACGAGAGAAGAGUCCGACAGAGCUGGGUAUGUGGUCUGCGAACAACAUUUCAGGCCAAAGGACAUAAACUCAAAGGGUAGAAGAAAACGUCUGGCUCCUGAAGCCGUCCCCAUCCUUCUGCACACUAUAAAGGAGGAACAGAGAGAUUUGGAGAUGCCUUCUACUGAUGUUCAUGCUCCAGUGCCUCUGCAAGACACACCCCCAUAUGAACAGGUCGUGGCAAUGUUUAACAAGCUGCUGGCAGAGAAGGAUGAGAAAAUCAAGGAUCUGAAAAGCAUUCUGCAGAGAGAGAGGGCCAGAAUGCGGCUGAUGAAGUUCCGCAUGAACAGCAAAAUCAGAGAACUGAAAAGAAAACUCGAACAGCAGCAGAACAGUAGCAGUGACCAAGGCGAUCAGCUGACUGCUGCCUCCGACUGCCUUCCACAGGCAGCAAAGGAGUUUUUUGACAAGCAAAUAGCCAUGGCCAAGGUGAGGAAACACGGCCAGAGAUAUGACAAGAAACAAAAGGACAUGGCAAUCCAGCUGUACAAACAGAGCCCAAGCUGUUACUCUGAACUCCAAAAAAUGUUUCAGUUACCGUCUUCAACCACUCUGAGGAGGCACCAGGUGGUCAGUCAGGAAGCGAGUCCACUUAUGAAAAUCAGAACUCCAGCACCUCAACAUUAACCAACAGAUUCUCAGAGGGAUUCAUGUCAGUCAAGUUGGCUGGCCAAUCAAGCACAACAAUAACAUGAGUGAAGAGGAGGAUCGGGAGCCUUUGGGAUGGCCUGCCAGUCAGAAGGACACACCAGGUGACCCAGAGAGAGGUGAGGAGGUGAAACUUGCUGAUGUAGCUGGAUGGGUGGUGCAGAAAGUGGCUCAAGAUCCAGAAGUCAGUGCUUGUACCGAAUGUGAAAGUUUGCUUGUGGAGACCAAUGACACAGAGCACAACUAUCACACACGGAUGGAGAAGGAUGCCGUCUCAGCUGUGAAGAAAAGCCCAACCUCUGCCCGGCUGCUUCAUCCAUCCGAAGCUUUCAAAGAAUGCAUUUCGAAAUGUGACAGCGUCAUCCAAAAAAUCCCCCCAAAUGCAAUGGCCCCGAAGAAAUUAAAGGCCUACCUCAGAGCCAGCGGUGCUUUCAGUGAGCUCCACCGCAUCCAUCCUGCCCACUCAAAGGCCAUCGAGAGGGUCGCCGUGAAUAAAUAUGUGAUGUGCAGGGUGGUGGCCGAGCUGAAGGAAACAGCACAAAACAGAAAACGCACACAUGAGAAAAAAAGUGCUGCGUGUCAAGAGCUAAAUGUUAGCACCCUUGAAGUAAAUCAGGACUAAAUAAAUAUAAAAUGUUGUUAAUUUGAUAAUAAAUUAUUUUAGGCCAUUCUAACUUGUCUGUGUUGUUUCAAGCUUUCCUCCAUUUGACCUAGAC